rnacentral:rRNA from 1 species
UACGUAGGGUGCAAGCGUUGUCCGGAAUUAUUGGGCGUAAAGAGCUCGUAGGCGGCUUGUCGCGUCGUCCGUGAAAACUUGGGGCUCAACCCCAAGCCUGCGGUCGAUACGGGCAGGCUAGAGUUCGGUAGGGGAGACUGGAAUUCCUGGUGUAGCGGUGAAAUGCGCAGAUAUCAGGAGGAACACCGGUGGCGAAGGCGGGUCUCUGGGCCGAUACUGACGCUGAGGAGCGAAAGCGUGGGGAGCGAACAGG